CYCGAGAUGAGUUCUCCCUGACCCUUUAAGGGUCCUGAAGGAACGUUGAAGACGACGACGUUGAUAGGCCGGGUGUGUAAGCGCAGCGAUGCGUUGAGCUAACCGGUACUAAUGAACCGUGAGGCUUAACCUU
rnacentral:rRNA from 1 species